GUCCCUAUCGACAAGCGGCUAAGUCGCCGCGUUCUCAUCGCGGAGUCCGGGGUUCGAAUCCCCGUAGGGACA
rnacentral:tRNA from 1 species